CGCAGCCGCGGUAAUUCCAGCUCCAAUAGCGUAUAUUAAAGUUGUUGCAGUUAAAAAGCUCGUAGUUGAAUUUCGGGAUCAAUUUAUUGGUCGUGCUAUUGUACGUACUGGUAUUAUUGAUUCCUACCUUCUGACGAACCAUGAUGUCAUUAAUUUGGUGUCAUGGGGAAUCAGGACUGUUACUUUGAAAAAUUAGAGUGUUUAAAGCAGGCUCACGCUUGAAUACAUUAGCAUGGAAUAACGAAAUAGGACGUUUGAUUCUAUUUUGUUGGUUUCUAGGAUCGACGUAAUGAUUAAUAGGGAUAGUUGGGGGCAUUAGUAUUCAAUUGUCAGAGGUGAAAUUCUUGGAUUUAUUGAAGACUAACUACUGCGAAAGCAUUUGCCAAGGAUGUUUUCAUUAAUCAAGAACGAAAGUUAGGGGAUCGAAGACGAUCAGAUACCGUCGUAGUCUUAACCAUAAACUAUGCCGACUAGGGAUCGGAUGAUGUUAAUUUUUAAUGA
rnacentral:rRNA from 1 species